rnacentral:lncRNA from 1 species
CGCUAACGGUUGAUCUUAUAAGAAUGAAAACAUAUAAUCAAUUUUCCAAUUUUUGAGAGCAAGCCCAUUCACAUGUUACGAAAUCCUGCCAGAGAAGGUUCUUCACAAUCGGGGUAAAAAUUUAUAUCGAUAGUGUGCAGCAAGCUUCUCGUGUUUCCAAGCGAGUCACAGGGUUUUACUCAGACAUCAUAAUUUCAGAAGAGACUGCAUCAGAAACCUGUGAUAAAUUCCUGCUCUAAAUUUUCACUUGUUACAUCUCAGAAGUGACGGGUGAUACUGAUAAUGGCUGAGAAGUUCAUUCCCACAUCAGCGAAAAGCUCUACGUACUCCAUACCUCCAGCUUCGUCCUUAAUUUUCUUAAUCAUGUCGAUGAAAUGAUACAUAUUCGAAAAAACUUUCACAUUCUAUCGUUUUACGAACAUGAAUGUGGACCGGAGGAGGGGGGUCGAUGGAGCUCCGUGAGUAACGGUGAGGAAGGUAGGCGCUGAAGGGCGAUGGCGACUGUACGUGCUCACACUAGCUGUGAAACCAGUCACUGAACAUUCUUAGUGUAGUUUUGAUACAGCUUUCUCGCCGAUCUAACCUGCUCUGUGGUAGAUGAUGAAGUUAGGCCCCUUCAUUUUAGUACACACCAAAUGGGCGUGAACAACAUCCAGAGACAUGGGUUAGGGUUAGAACAAUGCCUGUACAAUGACAUAUGCCAACGCGGUUCGUCUAGGAGCAGGAGCGACACAAAUCGUUGAGGGGGGGAGCGGCACAACGGUCACAGCGACAAGCAUAUGGCAGACGCGCACAACCUGGAUUUUGGUAACUUCACUCUACUCGCAAGGGACCCAGCUGGCGAUUAACUCAACCAAGCCCAGGGAGGGAGGGAUACUCCAAAAAAUAUGCAGGAUUCCUAAUCAAGACAAACCACAAACGGAUUCACAUGUCAGAAGAGGUUGUUGCAGCUGAAGAACGUUAAAUGCGGGAGCAGGUUGUGGUGCCCUGCCUCCUCAGCAUCAAAUCCAACCAAUCUGCAUUUGCAACAUGGCUUGACAAGCUUAACUCUAAACUGUUGAGUAGAAGAAUCACGUCCAUCAACAAAGUGGGCCAAGGGAUUUUUUGUCUGCUUACUCUAGAUCUAGAAGUUGCCUAAUAAAUCCUUGUACUUACACCUCACAGACAAUGGCUUCUGUGUAUUUUUCAACAAUGGACUCUAUAAUUCAACCUGAAGAACAAGAAAGGUAUAAUCAUCCCCACCUGGAUAUCAUUCAAGAACUUACUCUGGCAAUUCAACGAUGUUGCCCUAGAAAUUUUACAAGCCCUUGGAAAAGUACUUGGGGCAAACAUGAAAAAUACCAUGUUCACUAAACCCUGCUUUUAUAUUGUACUUGAUACCAACAAAGGUUGUUAAAUAGAAGAUGGACAAUCCAAAAAACUUACAAUAGUGACUAUGGACUAUGCAAAUCUUCCAAUAUGUUUCCGACUCUACUUAGAAGUGGAUCACCACAUUAACAUUUCUCGCUUUUUUUUCCCUUGGGAUUGCCAAAACUAUAUUGCAUUAUUUUUAGACAUGUCUAAGAAUGAAGAAGAUCUAGGAAUGGAGCUUGUAGCUCAUCUAUAAACUCCAACAAAAAAAAACCAAUCCACUCAUACAAUCCAAUUUUCUCUA